rnacentral:lncRNA from 1 species
UACUUCCUUGGCGAGAUAGCUUCGAGUAAUUUGUAAAUCAGUGCUGCAUACAUACAUACAUACAUACAUACAUAUAUAUAUAUAUAUAUGUAUAUGUGUAUAUAUAUAUCUGUUGUUCACAUCAAGAACACUUGUUCCAUCUCUGAAGUUCCAGAAGAUUGGAUGCCAUAUCAUAAUUCUAUCAUUUGAUGUUUGAUUUCCUUGCCGCCUAUCUCACAUGUGAACAGUAGAAUGACAAAGUGAUGAGCAAAAGAAGAUAGAGAUUGAUUGCGCGGUAUAGUUUUUAUGUAGAACAGGAUCAAAGGAAACGAGAGGGUCCCAUAAGGAGCAGCCAAAACGGCCCACAAAGGCGAAGCGUGGAUCGCUGAAAUGCAACAGCGUGUUCCCUCCAGAGAUCCUUCUUUCUUUUCUAUUUUCUUAUCUUUUAGAAAAUCUUCUCUCUCUGUGGUUUUUGUCGGCAGAUAUUAUUUUUUAGAAAAUUAAUAACUAGUCAUUUCCUGUUUUAAAUAGACCGAAAUAUGCAAUUGGAUGGGGCUUAUCAUCACAUAGUUGCCCAACGGAGAUGAGAUUCUUUGUGACUUUAGUAACAUAUAUAUAUUUUCACCCCCAAAAAUAGUUACUGGAUAAAUUAACAUCUUUUUGUCAAAAAAACUUAACAUCUGAAGCUCAGCAUCCCCUUCACCACCAAAGUUUUCCUAGUUUUAGCAUAGCUGGACUUUUUUUAGAUUGCUAUUACAUUAAUGGUUCAGGGGCACUGUGUUUUUUGUUUCUAGAGAAGAUCUGCCUUUUCUUCUUUUCCAUCAGCUUUGUGACACUGAAGGCUUCAUGUUGCAGAGAUUGGUAGAGAUGGAGGUAAAAAAUAUUCCUCUUGAUGAUGGGAAGAAGGCGUUCGAUGUUGUCGACAAAAAUGAUGUCGUUAUAUUACCCGCAUUUGGGGCGGCUGUGGAGGAGAUGAAGAUUCUGAGUGAAAAAAAUGUCCAGAUAGUUGAUACAACCUGCCCGUGGGUAUCCAAGGUGAUCAGCUAUUUCCUUGGAUCAUAUACAAGAACAAUUUUUUUUUCCUUUCAUUGCAUUUAUUAAUUGAUUUUCUAUCACCCGCUCGGAUUCUCUAAAAGGUCUGGAACACGGUUGAAAAGCACAAAAAAGGGGAUUUUACCUCAAUAAUUCACGGAAAGCAUUCCCAUGAGGAGACCAUUGCAACGGCAUCAUUUGCUGGGAAGUAUAUUAUCGUGAAGAACAUGUCAGAGGUUGAAUUAUGAAUCUGUUUUUUUUUUAAUGGUCUAGCUACUGUGUAAUAUGUUCUUCUUGUGCUAGUAUUUAUUUUUCGUCAUGGAUUUGUGACUGAAGGCGAUGUACGUAUGCGACUAUAUUCUUGGAGGUAAACUCAACGGAUCGAGCUCAACGAGGGAAGAUUUUUUCCUGGUAAAGUACUCUCUUAUGCUCUGUUUUCCUGCUCACAUUCAGACGUAAAUGUAGAUUCAUUAAGGAUCAUCUCUGUGCCCACCUACAGAAAUUCAAGGAUGCCGUCUCCGCUGGCUUUGACCCAGACAUCGAUUUAGUCAAACUUGGGAUUGCGAACCAAACUACGAUGCUCAAAGGAGAAACAGAGGAGAUUGGUGCGCCCCAUCAAUUUAUUAUCAAUCUUAAGAUCAAUUCGUCUACUUCAAUCGAAUUUGAAGAUUUAAUUCCUUUUCUGCUCUAGGGAAAUUGGUUGAGAGGACCAUGAUGCAAAAGUAUGGUGUCGAGAAUGUCAACAGCCAUUUUAUCAGCUUCAACACGAUCUGCGAUGCUACCCAGGUAAACUUAGGCCCCAUCCUUAUCACUGAUAUUCCGUAAAUGUGAAGAAAAAGGUCAACAUAUUUUACCUUGAGGGCCAAUAUCUUGGAUCUUGAGUCAACUGUCUGUGGUUGGUCUUAGAAUGUUAAUCUCUGGUUGCCGCAGAUCGGGAACGUGGGUUAUGUUUUGACAUUUAUUUAUGCUUUUCAGAAAACAGAUGCUCAAUAUACCGUUGGUUCCUCCUUUUCAUGGUCCCGAAUGUGAACGCCGCCAUUUUUAUGCAGGAGAGACAAGAUGCAAUGUAUAAGCUUGUCGAGGAGAAGGUGGACCUCAUGCUGGUGGUUGGGGGAUGGAAUUCCAGCAACACCUCGCACCUUCAAGAGAUUGCCGAAGUCAACGGGAUCCCAUCCUACUGGAUCGACACCGAGAAGAGAAUCGGUCCC